rnacentral:rRNA from 1 species
AUGCAAGUCGAACGGUAGAUAUCUCGGAGUAUGAGAGUGGCGAACGGGUGAGUAACGACGUAGAUGAUCUACCUCAAAUAGGGGGACGAACCAGGGAAACUUGGGCUAAUACCGCAUGAGUGCAGCGCAUAAAGCACCUUUAGGUGGGUGGUUUUAUGCGUUGCAUAAAAGGUGGCCUUCGGGCUGUCGUUUGAGGAUGAGUCUGCGUCCUAUUAGUUAGUUGGUGAGGUAAUGGCUCACCAAGGCGAUGAUAGGUAGGCGGCCUUAACGGGUGGCCGCCCACACUGGGAUUGAGAUACGGCCCAGACUCCUACGGGAGGCAGCAGUCGAGAAUAGUCUACAAUGGACGAAAGUCUGAUAGUGCGACGCCGCGUGAACGAAGAAUCCCUUCGGGGUGUAAAGUUCUUUUUUAAUAUGUGAGCAAUGCUUUUUAUGUGAAUAGCAUGAGAAGAGAGAUAUUAGCAUAUGAAUAAGCAACGGCUAACUCCGUGCCAGCCGCUGC